UGCCAUGUGUUUGCCAGGUUCCCACUUCUUGAGGAGUUCGCGGAUAGCCGGGAGCAACCAGAUCGGGUUCCUCUGGUGGUGGUGGCGAACAACGGGGCAAGGGUUGAUGUACCUGCAGGUUCCAAUGCUGAUUCUGGUUGUGGGCAGCAGAUUGGAUGCGAGGGCAGCACUCCUGCGCUUGCUGGCGUUCGACGACGAUCGGAUUCAUCCCCGACAAGGCCUGCACAGUGAACUGACAGAGUCAACCCCCAGGUGCCUUGUUGGAUGAAAAGAUUAAGGUUGGGGAGUAUGCCACCAGACCGGACACCGUGUCCAUCCCGAAUUAGUGCUAUGGAGCAGUUGAUUCGCAAAUACGCAGAGGAACCAACUAAAAGUGUGAUAAGACCUGAAUUUGGCUUUAGCCAAUCCGGAGCUGUUUGAAGGCAUGUUUGAGCAUACAAAGGCGUCACUGACUACGCUUGGUGUGGAAGGUGACGUUGCGGGAGAUGCCCCCCGUGGAUUUGGAGGCAAUUUCUGCAGAGCUGGGAACAGGGAAUUCGUCGAGGCGUGACUGGGGGAGAAGUACCCCACAUCGAUUGGGCUGUGCCAAGUGGAACCUUCUGAACAUGACAUUGGCAAGUUCUACCUCAGCAUGAUAGGGUGCGGCGAGAACAUUCUAAAGAAGAAAUGGUUCAAGCAUUAUCAUCCAAUACUAGCAGUGGGUUCUGGUCAAGACCUGAAGGAUGAGCUAACCCCUGGUGGCGAAUUGACACUGAAUUUGUGGAGAUGCAUACAACGGAUGCUAAGCGAGAAGGAGAUCAUGUACAGAGGGUAGUUAGAUAGAUUCAGAGGGAUAUUCGACCCUCAUUUUGUGGUGGAGCUUUGUAAGGAUGGUGAAGCUAAAGACUGGGAGUACAUCUACAUGAUGAUGGACUGUAAAAAGAUGGGCUACAGAAUCGACUGGCUUAAAAAGGGUCGGUAAACCGAAAUAUCUUGGUGGCCUUGGUGUGAUUGCCUUGAGAAAAUAAGGGAUCGCGUUGCAACUGCAUUCGGAGUGGCUCAAGCGUACAAAUGAUGCUAGACCUUGGCAGGGUUAAAACUUCUCAAGUGACCCUCAAGUUCAGUCUGCAUUCAAUAGGUUGGUGCACUGGCAGAUGGGUCCUGGUGAGUGGUGACAAAGUGCUUUUCUGGAAAGAUAGGUGGAUUAAGGAGCCCGUGUUGGGGAAUUUGCUACCCUGGUCUUGGCGCGAGUGAAAACGCAAGUGGUCAACAGACGGCUGGCCAAAGACGGGCGGAUAAUGCAUAAUUGGACUUUGGACAUUGGGGGUGAGUAGUCUACGAAAGGUCUAGUCUAGUUCAUUAAUCUGCGGGAGCGGUUGUUGGGUAUGCAUCAUUCUCCUGGCCGCAAGACAUGGCAAUUUGAAAAUGGAGUGACAUUGGACAGUACUCUGCGACCUCUACUUAUCACAUGCUCUGUGAGUGGCUCCAUUUGUUUCCUCUGCACUAUGAUGAUAUGGCGUUGUUGGGCACCCCUAUCCUGCAAAAUUUUCCUUUGGCUGGCUCUCCAAUACCCCUCUGGACGUCUCAUAGGAGAUUGCGACACGGCUUGCAAGACCAAAAAUUUGUCUGUUUCCUUUGUGAUCAAGAAGAAGGCACUGUGGAUCGUAUCCUCCUUCAAUGUGUGUUCUCUUGGUAGGUCUGGCACCUAUGUUUCGCAAGGGCAAAGAUCACUAUUUAGAUUCCUACGGUGACAAAUCGGCUUGAACCUUGGCGGGCAGCCAGUAGGAAGCUUUUUCUGAAGAUCUAUCGUAGAGGUUUUGACACUAUGGUUGCUCUUGUGUGCUGGGGCUUAUGGAAACAAUGGAACAGAAAGUCUUCGGAAGGAGAGAUAUCUUCAAUGAGUGGGAGCUUGCGUCUCUUAUUUUCCAAGAGCUCAAACUUUGGGCUAUUACGGGGAAGAAAUGAGUGCUACCAUUCUGUUAAUAGCCGACUAGAUCUGUAGGAUUGGUGUGUUCUUUCUAGCUUGCCUUGGGUGUUCUGCUAGACAGUGUGUAAUCUCUUAUAAUUAAUCUCUACCUUCUACUCCCUCCGUUCCUAAAUAUUUGUCUUUCUAGACAUUUUGAAUGACUACUACAUACGGAUGUAUCUAGACAUGUUUUAGAGUGUAGAUUCACUCAUUUUGCUCUGUAUGUAGUCACUUGUUAAAAUGCCUAGAAAGACAAGUAUUUAGGAACGGAGGGAGUAUAAAGUUAUGGUAUGCCUUUGUCGUACUCUUGAAAAACGGUGAAAUUUGCUCUCAUUUGCUCAA